UUUUAUCCUUCUCGCUCUCUCUGUCUCUAUCGCUCUCUCACUCUCUCUCUCUCUCAUAACUCUUUGCGGUCAUGGCUAUUAAUCAAUUUCAAAACCUUUCUAUUUUCUAUUAUUUUCUAGGCAACCAAACAAAGUUCUAGGUUUUUUUUUUUUUUUUUUGAUUUUUUAUGAAUUUCGUUUUGAUUUCCUCAUCAAGAUCAUCGCCAUCGAAUUGAUUUCACCGUCUCGCUCCUCCUUCAGCAAUUCACCGUUCUCCAAUUUCGGCAGUUAUAUAGUGGAGAAGAAUAGGAAACUUCAGAACCAGUUUGAAGCCGAAGCUUCGACUUCUUCUCAUGGUGGUUCGGGUUCUGUGAAGCCUAUAUUCGAUGGGGUUUCCAUCUUUGUCGAUGGUUUCACGGUUCCUUCCAGUCAGCUGGCCUUGAUUUGGGACCAAGCCUUAGGGAAAUUUGUGCUGCAAACAGGACAGAUGAAAAGCAGCAAAUAAAAGCACUUCUUCAGAGUGUUGGCACUUCCUUUUGCCCUGACUAUUCAGAUUGGUUUGGGGAUGAAGAAGCUGGUGACACCCAUUCAAGAAAUGCGGAUAAAUCUGUUCUUUCAAAAUUUUUACAAUCUUAUCCUGCUGAUUAUUCAACUACCAAAUUGCAGAUUGUCAUACAAGCUGGCUUACUCAAAGAAGGGUUAUGUUCUGUUCAGGAUGAGAGUGCAGGUCAUUUUAUCCUAACUUUAAUUUGGAUGCGAGUCAAAUUAUGGCUUCCACUAAAAAAGGAAGUGGAUUUUCAUAAAUAUAUCUUUUCCUGACAUGUUGUGGUCAAUAUGGUGGAUCUGGUCAAAGUUCUUCCUUAUCCAUUGCAUUUGUACGGUUUUUUUUAUUGUGUUAAAAGAGUAGUUGAUUGGUUGUUGUAAAUUUAAUUAGGAAUUGCACAAUUGUGUUUACAUUAUAUUUUGAAUUAGGUUAUUAAAUUUUGAUCAAUGUAAAAAGUGUAUCCAAAUUUAUUUA